GCUCACUGUGUGUGGUUGGUGGCUGGUUGGAGUAGUUUCACCAGGAGACUCUGAGGCUGGGCGAGGCUGCACACCUGUUGUUAAUUAAUCAAUCAUCCCCACACACUCUCAGGUGGGGAUCUCCUACAUGGUAGCAUGGAUCACCGUAUGUGUAUGUUUAAUGUCCUCAAACUUUGCAAUUAACCGGUUUCACCACUAUCAGCAUCAUCUUCAUAAGCAGCAACGAACAUUGCUAAACUCACGAACUUAGGAACUGAGGCACGCGGUAGUAUUUACUAUUUUGCACAUAGUAUUUGGAGUUUUUCACUUGUGGAGGAAUGGACUUCAACUUCAUGAUUUGUGUGGACAAGGUCAGCGCUGGAGGGUCCUGGGACCACACAGCAGCGCAGGGCUCAGACACAAACAGCAGAGGUCACCCUGAACCAUGGCGCUCUACUUCCCUGCUGUACAAGGAAGAGGAGCGGAUCCUCUUCGUGGCGAAAGAAGGAAAGCUGAAUACAAUCUGUUCCUCGAAUCCCAAGCCUUUGAAUUAUGAAUUAUGAAUGCAUACUAACAUUUCAAAAGGCACACUGCAAUGCCGAUCAUCAAUAUCCAUCAUCAACCUAAAGAUUCACAUGAAAUUUAAUUCACAUAUUUUAGCUUGAAGUGAAUGACAUGAAUUAUUGGAUUUUGAUUAAUGUACCAGAAACCAUUCAUCCUUGCUUUGGCAGCCGAUGCACUAUAGCCUUACCGUUGAGGUUUAUCUGAAGACUGUAAUAUCAAACCAGACGCACUCUUAAACAACUGUUCCUUCUGAGUGGAGCUUCUUACAAAGAACCUCUUUACACAUCCCACUGCUUCAUCUAUCAACCACCGGCUUUCAUUGGGUCAUCCAUUGAUUUAGGAAACGGCUAGCAGUCUAUAAAUCACUAGAAGGCCCAGGGCCUGCAUAUGCUCCUGACAUGCUGCUAGCAUAUGAACUGUUUAGCUCUCUGAGGUCAUUCAGGAGCGUUCCUCCAGAAUACAUACAACACAGCGGCCUCAGCAGAAGGUAGCUUUUAAGUUGUUCAAGUCUGGAGUUCACUCUAAAUGAUCGACUUUGACUGACUACUACAUUAUAUUUGGCUAAUUGAGUCAUUCUAUAUAUAUCUGGCUUUGAUGGCCUCCUCCUAUAGCAUUAUCAUGCAAACUGAUUCAGGGAAAAUUCCAUGCAAAAGAUAGAUCUAUAAACCACACAAUUAAUCACUAUGUGGCUUUUAUCUGGAUUUUUAUUGGUAGUUGAGUAGUUAGUGGAUCGGUUUAUGAAAAUACACCGCAAUAUAUUCAAGAAUGUGCUAAUUAUGCAUAUAGGGAAUCGGGCAUUCAGUAGAGUGAUCGUUAAAAAAGAUACGGCUAAUCAGGGCUAAUGUAGCUACCGUUGACUCCCAGAAAAUGGAUGCGACAUUUCAAUAAAUCUUUAAUUUGUUAUUGUAUGGUAUGGUGUGCCACCAGACAGUAGUUGUCCGUGGUCUUGGAUCUGUAUGGAGCAAAAACAAGCAAACGGGAGGGGGAUAGGAAAUGGUGCUUGUCAGGAUGACAAGUGAGAUAGGAUGAUGACACAGUCUCGCUCCAUGAUGGUCUCUCCUCUGGCCAGACAGAGGGCCCCAGUGGACCCAGACACAGUUCCACCCCCAAAUGAGGACAUUAUGUUACAUACCAUCAGGCAUCAUUCCAAGCUGGCCGCCUGACACUCUGGAAAUAGAUGUUCCACUGGCUGUAUUCUUUACCCGUUUCUGACAGGCCACAUUUCCUGGUAAACAAACAAACACACAUCUUGAAAUCUCUGCAAUACAACAUGCAUGUUUUUGAUUAUUGAUAACUCUAAGGUGUAGGACUACAUUCAACAUUCUCUCGUAAAUUUGAUGAUGUAUACUGAUGUUUAUAAUAUUUUUUUAUUUCUCUGGGCGUUUUGUCCCCCGUCUCAGAUGAAGAAUAGGAACAUGCUGAGCCUAUGAAAUUGUUCUAUGAAUGAAUUUAAUAAACCUUGGUCUUUGCAAUGAGAACAAA
ensembl:lncRNA